rnacentral:rRNA from 1 species
AGAACGAACGCUGGCGGCAUGCCUAAUACAUGCAAGUCGAACGAACACUUCGGUGUUAGUGGCGCACGGGUGCGUAACGCGUGGGAGUCUGCCCUUGGGUUCGGAAUAACAGUUGGAAACGACUGCUAAUACCGGAUGAUAUCGAAAGAUCAAAGAUUUAUCGCCCAGGGAUGAGCCCGCGUAGGAUUAGCUAGUUGGUGAGGUAAAGGCUCACCAAGGCGACGAUCCUUAGCUGGUCUGAGAGGAUGAUCAGCCACACUGGGGACUGAGACACGGCCCAGACUCCUACGGGAGGCAGCAGUAGGGAAUAUUGGACAAUGGGCGCAAGCCUGAUCCAGCAAUGCCGCGUGAGUGAUGAAGGCC